AAAAGAACCCCGGCGAGGGGAGUGAAAAAGAACCUGAAACCGUGUACGUACAAGCAGUGGGAGCCUCUUUUAUGGGGUGACUGCGUACCUUUUGUAUAAUGGGUCAGCGACUUAUAUUCUGUAGCAAGGUUAACCGAAUAGGGGAGCCGAAGGGAAACCGAGUCUUAACCGGGCGUUAAGUUGCAGGGUAUAGACCCGAAACCCGGUGAUCUAGCCAUGGGCAGGUUGAAGGUUGGGUAACACUAACUGGAGGACCGAACCGACUAAUGUUGAAAAAUUAGCGGAUGACUUGUGGCUGGGGGUGAAAGGCCAAUCAAACCGGGAGAUAGCUGGUUCUCCCCGAAAGCUAUUUAGGUAGCGCCUCGUGAAUUCAUCUCCGGGGGUAGAGCACUGUUUCGGCAAGGGGGUCAUCCCGACUUACCAACCCGAUGCAAACUGCGAAUACCGGAGAAUGUUAUCACGGGAGACACACGGCGGGUGCUAACGUCCGUCGUGAAGAGGGAAACAACCCAGACCGCCAGCUAAGGUCCCAAAGUCAUGGUUAAGUGGGAAACGAUGUGGGAAGGCCCAGACAGCCAGGAUGUUGGCUUAGAAGCAGCCAUCAUUUAAAGAAAGCGUAAUAGCUCACUGGUCGAGUCGGCCUGCGCGGAAGAUGUAACGGGGCUAAACCAUGCACCGAAGCUGCGGCAGCGACACUGUGUGUUGUUGGGUAGGGGAGCGUUCUGUAAGCCUGUGAAGGUGUGCUGUGAGGCAUGCUGGAGGUAUCAGAAGUGCGAAUGCUGACAUAAGUAACGAUAAAGCGGGUGAAAAGCCCGCUCGCCGGAAGACCAAGGGUUCCUGUCCAACGUUAAUCGGGGCAGGGUGAGUCGACCCCUAAGGCGAGGCCGAAAGGCGUAGUCGAUGGGAAACAGGUUAAUAUUCCUGUACUUGGUGUUACUGCGAAGGGGGGACGGAGAAGGCUAUGUUGGCCGGGCGACGGUUGUCCCGGUUUAAGCGUGUAGGCUGGUUUUCCAGGCAAAUCCGGAAAAUCAAGGCUGAGGCGUGAUGACGAGGCACUACGGUGCUGAAGCAACAAAUGCCCUGCUUCCAGGAAAAGCCUCUAAGCAUCAGGUAACAUCAAAUCGUACCCCAAACCGACACAGGUGGUCAGGUAGAGAAUACCAAGGCGCUUGAGAGAACUCGGGUGAAGGAACUAGGCAAAAUGGUGCCGUAACUUCGGGAGAAGGCACGCUGAUAUGUAGGUGAAGUCCCUCGCGGAUGGAGCUGAAAUCAGUCGAAGAUACCAGCUGGCUGCAACUGUUUAUUAAAAACACAGCACUGUGCAAACACGAAAGUGGACGUAUACGGUGUGACGCCUGCCCGGUGCCGGAAGGUUAAUUGAUGGGGUCAGCGCAAGCGAAGCUCUUGAUCGAAGCCCCGGUAAACGGCGGCCGUAACUAUAACGGUCCUAAGGUAGCGAAAUUCCUUGUCGGGUAAGUUCCGACCUGCACGAAUGGCGUAAUGAUGGCCAGGCUGUCUCCACCCGAGACUCAGUGAAAUUGAACUCGCUGUGAAGAUGCAGUGUACCCGCGGCAAGACGGAAAGACCCCGUGAACCUUUACUAUAGCUUGACACUGAACAUUGAGCCUUGAUGUGUAGGAUAGGUGGGAGGCUUUGAAGUGUGGACGCCAGUCUGCAUGGAGCCGACCUUGAAAUACCACCCUUUAAUGUUUGAUGUUCUAACGUGGACCCGUGAUCCGGGUUGCGGACAGUGUCUGGUGGGUAGUUUGACUGGGGCGGUCUCCUCCUAAAGAGUAACGGAGGAGCACGAAGGUUGGCUAAUCCUGGUCGGACAUCAGGAGGUUAGUGCAAUGGCAUAAGCCAGCUUGACUGCGAGCGUGACGGCGCGAGCAGGUGCGAAAGCAGGUCAUAGUGAUCCGGUGGUUCUGAAUGGAAGGGCCAUCGCUCAACGGAUAAAAGGUACUCCGGGGAUAACAGGCUGAUACCGCCCAAGAGUUCAUAUCGACGGCGGUGUUUGGCACCUCGAUGUCGGCUCAUCACAUCCUGGGGCUGAAGUAGGUCCCAAGGGUAUGGCUGUUCGCCAUUUAAAGUGGUACGCGAGCUGGGUUUAGAACGUCGUGAGACAGUUCGGUCCCUAUCUGCCGUGGGCGCUGGAGAACUGAGGGGGGCUGCUCCUAGUACGAGAGGACCGGAGUGGACGCAUCACUGGUGUUCGGGUUGUCAUGCCAAUGGCACUGCCCGGUAGCUAAAUGCGGAAGAGAUAAGUGCUGAAAGCAUCUAAGCACGAAACUUGCCCCGAGAUGAGUUCUCCCUGACCCUUUAAGGGUCCUGAAGGAACGUUGAAGACGACGACGUUGAUAGGCCGGGUGUGUAAGCGCAGCGAUGCGUUGAGCUAACCGGUACUAAUGAACCGUGAGGCUUAACCUUACAACGCCGAAGGUGUUU
rnacentral:rRNA from 1 species